CAGCCGCCGCGGUAAUACAGAGGGUGCGAGCGUUAAUCGGAUUUACUGGGCGUAAAGCGUGCGUAGGCGGCUUCUUAAGUCGGAUGUGAAAUCCCUGAGCUUAACUUAGGAAUUGCAUUCGAUACUGGGAAGCUAGAGUAUGGGAGAGGAUGGUAGAAUUCCAGGUGUAGCGGUGAAAUGCGUAGAGAUCUGGAGGAAUACCGAUGGCGAAGGCAGCCAUCUGGCCUAAUACUGACGCUGAGGUACGAAAGCAUGGGGAGCAAACAGGAUUAGAACCCCAGUAGUCCCUGUCUCUUAUACA
rnacentral:rRNA from 1 species